UGUUGCAUUAUGUUUCAACAUGCAGGAUAAACACGUGUGCUCCAAACUGCAGACACGUACCUCUUCAAGCUCUUUCUCGUUCUCCAUCUACCUCUGUGCUAUUCUCUCCUUAACACAGAGGAGUGCUCUGUAGACUAUUGGUAAAAAGAGUUCCGAGUCGAGGUGCAUGUACAAACCCCAAGCAGCAUGAGAUGAAGAAUUUGCCAGAAAGUGAUGAUGUUUUUUCUGAUGUAGAGUGAUCUUCGCGGCCAAGG